rnacentral:lncRNA from 1 species
GCGCAUCCGCAAUUGUCAUAUGAGUUAAGGAUAUGUUCUGGGAAUUUCAGUAAAUAUUUAUAGGCUUGGUGGGUAUUGUUUAAGAUUCAAUCUUUAGAUUCAAUGAGUUUUGUGAAGAUGCAGAUUGAGUUCAUUAAAGAUGAGAAUCAUAUAUAUAGAGUUUACAGAGGGGUUACAAAUCAGGAACAUUUAUGAUCAAGCGAUUUAAGAUGGGGACAUGAAGAGUUCACCGGUGAAAAAAUAGAUUACGAACAGACACACAACGCAAUUAUGUAACUCAGACUUGUUUGAGACAAUGAUGAAAAGAACUCAAACUCAUGCUAAACGACAACAAUUUACAAUAUGGGAAAACUAUAAUUGUUGCAAACUUGAGUUUUUUUUCAUAUAACGUGAUGAAUCCAAUUUAAAAAUGAAACUUAUAAUACACUUGUAGGCCCGACCCUCAGAGGAAGCCGAAUAAGCAAAGGUUUUCGACCUUCAUAAAUAUAUAUUAUGUUCGGCCAUCAAUGUAAAAAGUAUCAUUUAGCUUAGUGGUAUAAA